UAAACUAUCAAAAUUAAACCUUGAAGAAAUCGUCGCUCUCAGCCUCAACCUAGAACACAUCGACCUCACCAUCGACGAACUCUGUCGGCCAGCUCCGAAGGAUGACUACUGCUGGUGAAUGACGAUCAGUUUCAGCUAACAUACAAGCAAUCUUUGAGAUAGGUUAUCAAUUUUUCCCAUGUUUGAUAUUUGUAUAACUAUUUGAUUUUCUCUUUGUUUUUCCCGUUAUGUUUUCUUUAUCUGGUAUAGUUCUUGUAAACACAUUAUUUUGCUUUUGCUUUGUUGUAUUACUUGAUACAUUUAUGAUUUCUACUUCGCAAAAUUAGGAGAUUUAUUUGUUAGGUUUUGAUUUUCUGUUUGAAACCAUGAGAUUCUGUUGUUCGAUAUUUGCUAUCGAUGUUUGCUUUCUUGAUUAUUUAGAACAAUAGUUUCGCGGAUCUUUUUUUCUUUCUCUGGUAAUAUUUUGGGAGCUUUUUUCUUUCUCGGGUAAUUUUUUCUUUCUCCUUUUUUCUUCUUUUUCUUUCUCUGGUAAUAUUCCGAAAAAUCGUUUCGUUUCCCCAAUUUCUCUGGUAAUAUUUUCUUUAUUCGAUGUUUGCUAUCAAUGUUCUAUCUUCGCUGUGAUUUCUGGUUUGUAAAAUUGGGGAAUUUAUUUGUUUUUUCUUAUUUUCUCUUUGAAACUAUAAGAUUUUUGUUCUAUGUUAUCUAUGGAUGUUCCAUCUUCGUUGUUCGCUUUCUUGGUUAUUUAGAAAAAUCAUUUCGCAGCUCCUUUAUUUCUUUCUCUUGUAAUAUUUUUGAUAAACACAUUCUUUUACACAUGUACGAUUAUGUUUGUGUUGCUUUCACUUAAAAUUGUGUGAUUUGUUCAUGUCUAUGCUUUAGUCUAACGGGUAAGUGUUUGCCUUCACAUCUAUUAGAUAUUGGGGUUAUUCUUCUCACACAAAUUGCUUUCAUUUCUAAAUUUUCUUGCUUGGUAAAAAUAAUGCUAUCUAAUCCUUAAAAUCCAUCUAAUAAACUUUCGGAAGUAGAGCUUUUUUGACUUAUAGGUAGUUCAUCAAUCACACUCUCAUAAUUAAUAACUUAGUGCAAAGAACGAAAAGCUAUAAGCAUGCUGUGCACGUUGUAAACUGUUGAGGUCUUUUCUUUAUAAUUACGACAUAUGAACUUAAAUUACCCAUUUUCAAUUACAUAUUUUAUCUAACUUUAUGAUGUUAUUUGGUCAUAGUAUAUCUCAGAAUAGUAGAGCUUUCCUUGAACAGUGAAUAUUCAAACCUCUUUCUAACCUCAAGUCAUUAAAUUAUUAUAUGUACAGUAAACUUUUAAGCAAAUAAAAGGGACUAUGGAUAGAAGACAUGGAAACACCUCAAUUACAAGCAAAUGAAUAGACUGUUUCUAACAUAAUUGUUGCUUCAUGUCAUGUAAUAGCAUAUUAAUUGCAUUAUUGUGAAAGCAAGUUCAUCACAGAAUGAUCCUAUGAAUCUUUUGGAGAAUAGACCUCAUUUGGAGCAAAGCAGUAAUGUUACAGUUAGAGAUUAAGAAUUAAAUUAUUUCUGCCCUUUAUCUAAAUUUUAAACAUUUGAAGUUAUCAUGAAUUAGUGUAUUAGUAUCAAUCCAUAAACUAUGCCUCAGUUUGUGAUGACCUUAAUUUUAAGUACCGAGGCUUUGGAAACCUCUUUAGCCUCACCUUGAUUUACGUGUACAGUCUGAAUGCGUAGCCAGAAAGCUUAAAUGUGAAAGUCUAUGGAAAAUAAUAAAAUUUUGGCUAUAAAAUGAAUUAAUUUGACUUUGGUCAAUAUUUUAGAUAAACGGACCCGGACCCGUGAUUUGAAGGUCCCGGAGAGUCCGUAGGAAAAUAUAAGACUUGGGCGUAUGCCCCAGAAUAAAAUUUUGAGGUCCCGAGCAGGGGAAAUGAAUUUAAAAAAAAAUUAUUUUAGAGGAGGCUCAUAGUUCCCGGUACUCUAUUCUCCCGGGCGUCGCAAAGAUGUAUCAGGAUUUGCGGCAACAUUAUAGGUGGUGGAGAAUGAAGAAGGAUAUCGUAGCAUAUGUGUCCCGUUGUUUGAAUUGUCAGCAGGUCAAGUACGAGCAUUAGAGGCCUGGUGGUUUAUUUCAGAGGAUUGAGCUUCCCGAGUGGAAGUAGGAGCGAAUCACUAUGGGCUUCGUUACUGGAGUCCCGUGACCCGGAAGAAGUUUGACGCCUUAUGGGUCAUUGUUGAUGGGCUGAUCAAGUCAGCACAUUUCAUUCCUGUGGCAGUCUCCUAUUUUUCUGAGAGGUUGGAUGAGAUCUAUAUCCGGGAGAUUGUUCGCCUUCAUGGUGUGCCUGUGUCUGUCAUUUCAGACCGAGGUACGAAGUUUACCUCAUGCUUCUGGAGAGCAUUUCAGUAAGAGUUGGGCACUCAGGUUGAGUUGAGCACAACAUUUCAUCCUCAGAUAGACGGCCAAUUCGAGAGGACUAUUCAGAUUUUGGAGGAUAUGCUCCAAGCUUGUGUCAUUGACUUCGGAGGCUCGUGGGAUCAGUUUUUACCUUUAGCAGAGUUUACCUACAACAACUGCUACCAGUCGAGUAUCCAGAUAUCUCCUUAUGAGGACUUAUAUGGUAGGCGGUGUCGGUCUCCGGUUGGAUGGUUUGAGCUGAGAGAGGCUAGGUUGUUGGGUACUGAUCUGGUUCAGGAGGCCUUGGACAAGGUCAGGAAUAUUCAGGAUAGACUUCGCACAGCUCAAUCUAGGCAAAAGAGUUAUGCAGACAGCAAGGUUCGAGAUAUGGCUUUUAUGAUCGGUGAGUGGAUGUUGCUCCGAGUGUCUCCUAUGAAGGGCGUGAUGAGAUUUGGGAAGAAGGGCAAGCUUAGCCCUAGGUUUAUUGGCCCGUUUGAGAUUCUUGAUCGAGUGGGAAAGAUGGCUUAUAGACUUGCAUUGUCGCCAAGCUUAUCAGCCGUGCAUCCAGUGUUUCAUGUAUUUAUGCUUCGAAAAUAUCACGGUGAUCCAUCACGCGUGUUAGAUUUCAACACUAUCUAGUUGUACAAGGACUUGUCUUAUGAGGAUGAGCCGGUAGCUAUUCUAGACUGACAUGUUCGCCAAUUGAGAUCAAAUAAUUUUCCUUUUGAUCGUAUUCGGUGGAAAGGUCAGCAUGCUGGUAUCGACCUGAGAGCCUGAGUCCGAUAUGCAAAGCCGUUAUUCCCAUCUUUUUCCAGAAUCAGGUACUUCCUUCUUCUGUCCGUUCGAGGACGAACGAUUUUUUAGAAGUGGAGAAUGGGAUGAACUUAAUUAUAAGUACCAAGGCCUUGAAAACCUUUUUUAGUCUUGUCUCGAUUUGUGUGCGCAGUCCGGGCGCGUAGCCGGAAAGCUUAAAUGUGAAAUCUAUAAAAAUGGUAAAUUUGUAGCUAUAAAAUAAAUUAAUUUGACUUCGGUCAAUAUUUUGGGUAAACGGACCUAGACCCGUACCCCUACCCGUAAUUUGAUAUUCUCGGAGGGUCCGUAGGAAAAUAUAGGACUUGAGCGUAUGCCCGGAAUCGAAUUUCGAGGUCCCGAGCCUGGGAAAUGAAUUUUUAAAGAAAAUUAUUUUCUGAAAUUGUUUAAGGAAAUUUAAAAUGAAAUUUGAUUAAAACAUGUUAAUAUCGUGCCUGUAUUUUGGUUCCGGCGCCCGAUACCGGUUUUAUAUAUGAUUUAAGAUGUUUUUGUGAAAUUUGAUGAAAAACAGAUAUCAUUUGACAUGAUUCGAACCUAAUUAUGAAGUUUGAGAAAUAUCCUUUGAUUUGAGGUUUAACUCGUUGUUAUUGAGGUUAUUUUGGCGAUUUGAUUGCACGGAUAAGUUUGUAUGAUGUUGAUGAGUAAGUCCAUAUGUUUGGUUAGGAGCCCCGAGGGCUCCGGUGGGACAUGUUAGUAUCUGUCCUGUAUUUUGAUUCUGGAGCCCGGUACAGGGUUUAUAUAUGAUUUAAGAUGUUUCUAUGAAAUUUGGUGAAAAACGGACGUCGUUUGACGUGAUUCAAACUUAAAUUACUAAUGUUGAUGUUUUAUAAAGUUUUAAAAAAAUCCUUUAAUUUUGAGCUUUAGUUCGUUGUUAUUGAGGUUAGUUUGCCGAUUUGAUCAAACGGAUAAGUUCAUAUGAUGUUUUGAGUUAGUAUGAACCUUCGGUUUGGAGUUCCGAGGGCUCGGGUGAGUUUCGAGUAGGUUCUGGAAGGUCUUAGGCUUAAUAACACAAAUAUUGCAGGUUUAGAGCUAUUUUAGCUCUUUGAACCCGAUAGUGCGGUCCGCGAGAAAUCUUGUGCGACCGCGGAGGAGGCCAGCGUGGUCCGUCGUCGGCUUUGUGCAGUGCGCGGAGGAGGCCAGCGCAGUCCGUGGUGGUUUUUUGUGGUGCACGGUGGAGGACUGUGCGGUCGCAAUCGACUUUGUGUGAUCCUUACAGGAUCCCUAAGUUGUAGUAUCCUUAGGAAGGGCUGUGCAGCUGUAAUCUAUUUUGUGCAGUCCCCGCAGGGGUCUGAGAGGGGUAUAAGUAACCGGAAUUUUCAGUCAUUUAGCAUUUUUCAAACCCCAAACACAUAAGAGGCGAUUUUUCAAACAACCUUUCUUCUCCAAAUCAAUUAUAAGUCAUUUUUAACUAAUUUUCUUCAAUCAUCAUCUUUUACCAUGAUUUCAACUUCAAAUUAAUGAUUUGUAUGGUGGAAAUUGGGUGUUUUGGGUAGGACCUAAGUUUUCAAAAAAUUGGGGAUUUGGACCUCGAUUGAGGUCCGAUUCCAAAACAAAUUAUAUAUUUGAGUUUGUGGGGAAAUGGGCAGGCGGGUUUUGAUUCGGACCUCGGGUUUUGACCACGUGGGCCCAGAGACAAUUUUGACUUUUUGGGGUAAAACUUUGAAAAACUUAUUUUCAUGCAUUCAAAUUGAUUCAUUUAACAUUUAUUGAUGUAAUUAAGUAACUUGUGGCUAGAUACGAGCGAAUUCGUGAUUAAAUCAAGGGGUAAAGCUAUAAUUGAAACUUAAGUUAGUGUUCGAGGCAUCGAGGUAAGUGUUCGGUCAAAUCUUAGCUUGAGGGAUUAGGAGUUGAGUCCUAUUUGCUAUUUGCUUCUUGUUGAGUAUGACGUAUAGGCAUGUUGACGAAUAUCUAUGGUUGGUGUCGAGCAUGAACGUGAGUCUUAAAUGAAUAUUUGUAGUGUUCUUUCACAAUUCUACGGAUGCUUUAAUUGGUGAAUCCUUGACAUUGAGAAAAGACUUAGUUUAUUUUCGUGGAAUUCACUUAUUAUUGAGAAAUGGUGAUAACCGAGAUGAGUCGGAGUUGAGUUAAUAUUGAAUAUAUCUAAUUCUCCCUUGCCGGGACGUAUAUACUUAUUCUAUUCAAUUUCCUUGCCGGGAUAGUGUGGUUACUAUUGAUCCUUUGCCAGGACUGUUACUAUGAUUAUUGUUGACUGUAUAUUUGAAACGGGUUGCGUGCCGCAAUAUUUUUUUAUAUAUAUAUGGAUCGGGUUGCACGCCACAAUACUAUUAUAUAUGGAUUGGAUUGAUAUAUUAGAUCAGGUUGCACGCUGCAACAGAUAUAUAGAUAGAUUGGGUUGCACACCACAACAGUGUUGAUUGAUAUGGGACCGGGUUGCGUGCCGCAACAGUAGUAUUGUAUUGUUGUAGAUAUUGUAAUGUCCUUUCAUAUUUCUAUUUAGUUUCUGCUAAGAUUUGAUAUGUUCCCUGAAUCACGUACCCGUUCCCAUUUAAACUGCUUAUUUAUGUUUAUUUUCCGGUCGUAUAUUAUAUAAUUGCACAGGAUUAUCUGGAGUCUGGUCCUAACGUCGUCACUACCUUACUGGGAUUAGGCCAGACACUUACCAACACACAGGGUCGGUUGCUGGUACUACACUUUGCACUCUGUGCAGAUACCGAGACAACACUGGGACAACAGUAGUAGUUUGGGAGCCAGCCUUCAGUCCACCGAGAUACCGAGGUAGACCUGCAGGCAUCCACAGGCCCGACGUCUCUUCUAUCUUUUAUUAUGUUAUGUUAUCUAUUGUAUUCGAGACAGGCAGUGAUACUUUCUUUCAAAUAGUUAUAUGAAGUAAUCUUAGUAGUCCAUGAAUGAUGUGACACCAAUUUCUGGGUAGAGGCAUAUAUAGAUUUUUCUUAUCAUUUUGGUUCAUUUUUUCCAAGUCUUCCGCUUAAUCUCAUAUUCUGCUGUUAAUUAAAUAUUUAUCGCUUGUUAUUAUAUGUUGUAAAAAGCAUUUAAAAAAUAAGAGUUAAGAAUUCAUAAUUUUGUAGCUUGCCUAGCUUCUAUGAGUAGAAGCCAUCACGACUCCGAGGGUAAGAAAUCCGGGUCAUGACACAGUCCCAUUUUAUUAAUACUCUGUAUAGAAGUACAACUUGUACAUGCAAAAAAAAGGAAAAAAAUAUAUAAGUAAAAACAAAAAGAAUAAUAAAUCUAGAAGUUUCAAGUGCUCAACUGAAAGGAUGGUUUCUAAAAAGAAUGAUUUAUUUUGCACUUUUAGGUUCGCAAUGUAGUAUCUGAGGUAAUUUUAGAUGCUUAAAUAAGACGACAAUAAGUAGUAAUUGUGUGAAAACUAUGACAUGCAUUUUGGAAAAUGAAGUGGCGAUGUCCCUACUUGUCAUUGGCUGCCCCCUUCCUCAUGUCUUUCCUCCUCUCUUGGACAACAUCAAACCUUUGUCUUCUUAUUUUUUCUCAGGGUGCUGCUCGCAAAUUAGCUAUACAGAGAAAGAAUAUAGAGG
rnacentral:lncRNA from 1 species